rnacentral:lncRNA from 1 species
CUCCGAUGUUCUUGUUGAAGAUCCACUUGCACUCUAUUGGGGUCACACCCUCAGGUGCUUCAACCAAGAUCCACACUUGGUUGGUAUACAUCGAGUCCAUCUCAAAUUAGAUGGCUUCCAGCCAUCUGUCUGAGUCUCUACUCAUGACAGCCUUCGAAUAAAUUAGUUGAUAUCAUCCUAAAUGAUGUUGAUCGUAUUAUCAUUCUCAAUGAUAAAACUAUAUCUCAGAGGUGCUUGACGUACUCUAUCUGACCUUCGAAGAGAAGGUGUGUAUUGUGGAUGUACCUCAUCCUUGGGUACUUCUGAUUGAGGAUCUUCUUGUAGUCCAACCACAGGUAUUUC